CCGGCGUUUCCUGGAAAGUGAUUACUCCUAAUGAGAUCAGGUUGUCCAAAUCUCAUGCCACUAAUUAAAUCACAACUUCUCCUUUUUUUUUUCCAGCUACACAAAAGCUUUAUUCAUGAAUUAAAAUACAUAGUGAAUCUGAUUGUAACUCUGAUCCUCUGUGUGUUCAUAAUUAAACAACCAGUUCCUUCUAUGAAUUGAAACAAAAUUCCUUCUGGGGCAUGUCCCACUUUCCCCAGACAGAGCUGGAUGAUGGGAGAUGUGCCCAUCUGGAAAACAACAUGCACGCCCCAGAGAGAUCAACUCACCACUUUGCUUGGCAACCUCCAGCCAUGUGUUGAGGCUGACCAUGGCUGAUCCUUCUGAAGCUGCCAGGAGCCCAGAGGGAGCCACAGCCUGCAGGAGACACCCGAAACGAGGGACACAAACAGGUAAAACUGCAGGUAAAGCAAUGUGGAUGAAUGGAUGACCAGAACUGCACCCUGAAUGUAUUCUGCUCAUGGAAACUGUCCUGGAAUAUUGGACUGGACCAGCUUCGUGAUGGUCAUGCCCGUUUUGAGACUCUCACAUUAUUGCCACAAGAACUUCAGUCUCCUGUAUAAUAUUUCAGACAUGGAGGGGAAAAAAAAAUGAAGAAAUAAAGAAGAAAAACCAGCCGUCUGCAUCCACUUAAACUACAUUACAAUAAAGCUCAGUAAAGAUCUGA